rnacentral:snRNA from 1 species
GGAUGUGAGGAGGGUGGUCUGGCUGGCCCAUCUGGUGUCUGAGGUUGGUGCCCUUGCCAUCCUUCACUGCUCCAUGUUUAUCUCUCCAGAAUAGUUCCUUUGUUCAUGAGGAUAGCCUUCUGAGAGCUAGAGGAGGGCCAAUGUUGGUCAGGGGUGUAGUAUAGUGGCUGCACUCCCCUUGCCAGAACUUCUCAACCUGCCCUCAGCAAAGUUACAGAGGGAUUGAUGGGAAAGAAGUGGCUCUUUUCUACCACAGUCCUGCAG